rnacentral:rRNA from 1 species
GUGAAAUACAAAUCGGACUAGGAUAUAGCUGGUUUUCUGCGAAAAUUGUUUUGGCAAAUUGUUUAUUCCUCUAAAAAAUAGUAGGUAUAGCACUGAGUAUCUCGAGGGAGUAUGAAAAUAUUUAUCUCAGAUAUUUAAUCUCAAAAUAACUAUUUCUUAAAAUAAAUAAUCAGACUAUGUGCGAUAAGGUAGAUAGUCGAAAGGGAAACAGCCCAGAACAGUAAUUAAAGCUCCCCAAUUAAUAUUAAGUGA